UGCAGAAUCCCGUGAACCAUCGAGUCUUUGAACGCAAGUUGCGCCCGAAGCCUCGGCUAAGGGCACGUCUGCCUGGGCGUCA
rnacentral:rRNA from 1 species